UUGGUUGAAAUACUGUGUCUUUGUGGCCUAUAUAAUGUGAACCUCUGAGCCCCGAUUUCCUUCUCAGAGUCCAAGGAUAAUUUCUCAUUAUACUCUUAUUUUGAAGACUUGGAAUAUAUUUGUAAGCACCUGGCAUGAAAUACGACACAGACAAGGUAUAUAUAAAAAUAAAGUCUCAGUUUGUGUGUCAUAAAUACUAGAUUUUAAAGGAGCAAGCUCCAUGAAAUGGAGAUGUCUUGUAUGUUUGUAAUAAAAAGAAAAAGAAAUUUGGCCUGGGGAGGAUUUGGGCUAUUGUAAGUUCCUGAGAUAAUUUUUUUUCCCACUAUGUUCAGAAUCCUUACAGAUAUAUAAGAUAGUAUUUACCACAUUAUGCUGCAAUAACCAACAGCUUCUGAAAUCCAGCAACAAAAGUUUAUAAAUGUUUAUUUCCUGUUUAUUUUAUAUUUAGGUUGUGGUAGCUGCACAUUAACUGUGACCCUGCUCCACAUACAUUCUUCAUCCCAGAACCUAAGGAGAAGAAGCAGCCUUUCCUUGCUACAUAUCUUUCUCAUUACAGAAGAAAAUGAAGACGGUUGAAUCGUACAUGACUCAAAACUUCAGACAUGACCUGCUGAACUGCACAGCUCUAAGGACUAUAUGAGCCAGGCUUCAGCUGGCUGCUGACCAGAGCUUCAGUAUGAAGCAAGUGCUCAUUAAGCACAACGAAGUUCAGACAUGAAUCCACUUCCUCAAAACCCACCUGUGAGCACAGUCAUCUCAUUUCCAAGCAACGAUUAGUUUCUGGUCAGUAUCUGGUACCAAAGGUCUGUGGAUCUGCCAUGGCAUCAUCAUUAAGCUAUUAGGUAUGUCUUCAAC